UGAGCAAUCUGCCCUUCGACAUCCGGAACUAAACCGACGUUUGGAAACCGAC
rnacentral:rRNA from 1 species